rnacentral:rRNA from 1 species
CCUACGGGCGGCAGCAGUGAGGAAUAUUGGUCAAUGGGCGCGAGCCUGAACCAGCCAAGUCGCGUGAGGGAAGACGGUCCUAUGGAUUGUAAACCUCUUUUGUCGGGGAGCAAAAGACGCCACGCGUGGCGUUCCGAGAGUACCCGAAGAAAAAGCAUCGGCUAACUCCGUGCCAGCAGCCGCGGUAAUACGGAGGAUGCGAGCGUUAUCCGGAUUUAUUGGGUUUAAAGGGUGCGCAGGCGGAAGAUCAAGUCAGCGGUAAAAUUGAGGGGCUCAACCUCGUCGAGCCGUUGAAACUGGUUGUCUUGAGUGGGCGAGAAGUAUGCGGAAUGCGUGGUGUAGCGGUGAAAUGCAUAGAUAUCACGCAGAACUCCGAUUGCGAAGGCAGCAUACCGGCGCUCAACUGACGCUGAUGCACGAAAGUGUGGGUAUCGAACAGGAUUAGAUACCCGGGUAGUC